rnacentral:misc_RNA from 1 species
GAUGAAGAACGGUAGCGAAAUGCGAUAAGUAGUGUGAAUUGCAGAAUUCAGUGAAUCAUCGAAUCUUUGAACGCACAUUGCGCCCCUUGGUAUCCCGAGGGGCAUGCCUGUUCGAGCGUCAUUUCACCACUCAAGCCUGGCUUGGUGUUGGGCGACGUCCUCUUUGGGGACGCGCCUCGAAACGCUCGGCGGCGUGGCACCGGCUUUAAGCGUAGCAGAAUCUUUCGCUUUGGAAGUCGGGGCCCCGUCUGCCGGAAGACCUGCUCGCAAGGUUGACCUCGGAUCAGGCAGGGAUACCCGCUGAACUUAAGCAUAUCAAUAAGCGGAGGA